CCUACGGGAGGCAGCAGUGAGGAAUAUUGGUCAAUGGACGAGAGUCUGAUCCAGCCAAGUCGCGUGAAGGAUGACUGCCCUAUGGGUUGUAAACUUCUUUUAUAUGGGAAUAAAAUGUUCCACGUGUGGGAUUUCGUAUGUACCAUAUGAAUAAGGAUCGGCCAACUCCGUGCCAGCAGCCGCGGUAAUACGGAGGGUCCGAGCGUUAUCCGGUUCUAUUGGGUUAAAGGGGAGCGUAGGGGGAUUGUUGAGUCAGGUGUGAAAGUUUGCGGCUCAACCGUAAAAUUGCAGUUGAAAGGGGCAGUCGUGAGUACAGGAGAGGUGGGCAGAAUUCGGUGUAGCGCGGUGAAAUGCAUAGAUAU
rnacentral:rRNA from 1 species